rnacentral:rRNA from 1 species
UACGUAGGGUGCGAGCGUUAAUCGGAAUUACUGGGCGUAAAGCGUGCGCAGGCGGUUCGUUGUGUCCGUCGUGAAAGCCCCGGGCUUAACCUGGGAACUGCGAUGGAAACUAGCGAGCUGGAGUGUGGCAGGAGGGGGUGGAAUUCCGCGUGUAGCAGUGAAAUGCGUAGAGAUGCGGAGGAACACCGAUGGCGAAGGCAGCCCCUGGGCUAACACUGACGCUCAGGCACGAAAGCGUGGGGAGCAAACAGG